CCGGUAAUGAGUAAGCAAGGCAGCUGAAUGUCAAUAGCUCGGUGUGAACUUGGGUAACCCAGCUGAGCCCUGCUCGGCGUGGGGCUGGCAGAUGUACUCUGUGCCCACCCGCCUGUUUGCAUCUGACUGCUACGUGCCGCUUGCCUGAGUGCGCGACCCUUUUAUAACAACUGUGUCUGAGUCAGCUGUCGGAGAGGAAAUGUUGUGAAGCCACUGCACGUGAACAGCAUCUCUGGGGAAGAAACACAUGAUUGUGAAUUUUAAAGGAGAGAAUCAACGCCUGUCUGCCUCCAGUCACUCUCUUGUUGCCUUGGCUAUUCUGUUGUUGGUCUUCCCAAAUAUCCAGGUGUUGUGUCUGAAGAGCCAAGAAGAGCAGAUGUGGGGAAAAAGAAACUGGAGAGCAACAGAAAAUAUCAUAAAAUAGAUAUCUGCCACUCAAAACCAUACGUUUCUCAUAUCUACUUUUGUCUGCUUGGUGCUUUUCUAUAGGAAAUCUACUCUUGCAUUUCUGACAGUGCAGCUGUACUAACUGAAAUGACUGAUUACAUGCUUUUUGAAGGACAAGUAUGAAUCUGCAAAUAUAUUUACAUUUCCUAAUUAAUGUUUUAAAGAUUUUUAACUUGAGAUUGAAAUGACUCUAAACUUCAACGAGGUUAAUGCUAAUAUGUGUUGGAUCUAAUCUUUGAUACCCAGGACACCCUGGGAAACUGUGGAUCGCUGCAGGGGUUCAAUAUCUGUACCUAUGUAAUUCCUCUUUUUAGCUUUUUAGAAUGGGGGGAGGGGGAAAUGUGUGUGUGUGUGUGUGUGUGUGUGUGUGUAUGUGUGAGGGGGAAUUAAAGAUAUAUUUUUAUAGAUAGUUAGCAAGAGCCAUGGGCAUUAUGGGAGCCCUAAAUAUGGGAGAAUAUAACUGAACUUGGCUGAAGAAUAGGCCAUGUUUAGUCUCCUGCACAGCACCAAAUGUUACUCCAAAUGAAUCCUCACUGAGGUUCAUGGAAGACUAAAGCUUAUUGUCUGAGCAGCAUUUCAGUUCUAACUUUUGCACAAG
rnacentral:lncRNA from 1 species